GCUAGCUGGCUCAAGUGAUGUAUCAUCAGGGUUGCAUUAGAAAAGGGAUGCGCAUUCAAAUGGAGUAAUCAAGGAGAGUUUAAUAAAGGCAGAAUGUAUAAAGGUGCAAGAAGCGUUAAAGAAAACCAAUAAGGAUGGGGAAGCACCCCAGAGAUUGCAACACUUGAGGGCAUUAUGACUCCAGGCCUGAAGAGACAAGGAGAGGGAGUGCUUACGGGAAUGUGGAAAGAGCUGAUGUUGUAGAAUAGGGUCUUCUAGAAUGAUUCCAGUUCAAGGUCCCAGUGCAGAGGGAGCUGGGGGAGUAAAUACCCUCAUUUCUCUUUCCUUCCAUCCCCUAGUCUCCUGCAGGUGACUCCCAUUGGGAAAAUCCAACAAAAGCCGGAGAGUAAAGGAUCCUGUUGACAUAUGCCAUGCAGGUGUCGAUCCCAAGAGCACUCCCGAAGUAACUUCCUGCACGUUAAUCUCUAUCUCAGAGUCUGCUUUCCAGAGAACCCAACCUGUAGUCCUCCACCCCCACUGUAUCCAUGCCCAGUGGAAUGUGACUUUGCAGCUUCUCCAAUCAAGAGAUGAAGUCUAUUUCUCCACUCCUUGAAUCUAGGCUGGUCUUGUGACUUGCUUUGGUCAACAGAAUGAGGCAGAAGUGAUAUCAUACCAUUUCUGAGCCUGAGCCUCCAGAAGUCUUGCAUGCUUCUGCUCUCACUUUUGGAGCCCAGGCCAGCCUACUGGAACAUAAAAGAUGUAUGGCCAAGUCACAGCUGUUCCCCCCCUGACAGCCAACCAUCCCCCAGAAACAGAGCCACCCAGCUGACCACAGUGCAUGAAUGAGCUUGUCCAAGACCAGAAAUACUACCUACCUGAGCCUAGCCCAAAUUGCUGACCUGGAGAAUCAUGAGCUAAUAAACAGUGUUGUUUUAA